rnacentral:rRNA from 1 species
AUACGGAGGGGGUUAGCGUUGUUCGGAAUUACUGGGCGUAAAGCGCACGUAGGCGGUUUGGUAAGUCAGAUGUGAAAGCCCACGGCUCAACCCUGGAACUGCCUCCAAAACUAACAGUCUAGAGUUCGAGAGAGGUGAGUGGAAUUCCAAGUGUAGAGGUGAAAUUCGUAGAUAUUUGGAGGAACACCAGUGGCGAAGGCGGCUCACUGGCUCGAUACUGACGCUGAGGUGCGAAAGCGUGGGGAGCAAACAGGAUUAGAAACCCCAGUAGUCC